rnacentral:lncRNA from 1 species
GUCGCAGUUGCGGCGGUAUACGGACGACCAGAAGAGUCGACCACUGCCGCCAUCCAGGGUGAGGAACAGCCGUCCGCCACCAUCCCGUCUGUGAGAACAUUGGUGGCGGCGUCGUACGCGGAAGAAGACGACGAUACCAUUUGUGUCCAGGCAGACAACAAGUUCUACUUGUAUGCCAAUUCACUGAAGCUGUAUUCUUGCUACAACCUACUACCGACGGUUUACGUGGUGAAACCAAAGAGUCUGUGUAAACCAGUCCUGUCCGACUGUCCCAAGAACUAGGAGUAUUGCAAGUGUGUCGGCUCAUCCUGGAGGAGCUGACUCAUCUAGGAUUGAGUGAAGACGAGAUGGCUGAGCUGUUGACUGAAGACAUCAACAAUUUUCACAGAAAGAAGUAAAUUCCAAGAGCGUAGAACUUACCUCUUUCACUAGCAAGAAAAACUGGUGGAAUCAACAUAUCUUGUUUUGUGAUACUUUCUCAUUGCUUCAUGAUAUGCAAUAAAUCAGCUUUACAACCAGGCUACAAACUGAGUGGAAGAAUUAUUUUUUAAACAUGGUUUAGCCUGUUGUAUCUUUCUGUUGGACUUUUAAUAGUUUUAUUCUGACACAAUAAAACUGUUCUUUCAUGUCCUCAACUGUUAUAUAUCAAUUGUAGAACACAUUUCCUAAUCUGUAGCUUUACAUAAAUAGUGGCAAAGUA